AUUGAACGCUGGCGGCAGGCCUAACACAUGCCAGUCGAGCGGAUGAAGGGAGCUUGCUCCUGGACUCAGCGGCGGACGGGUGAGUAAUGCCUAGGAAUCUGCCUGGUAGUGGGGGAUAACGUCCGGAAACGGGCGCUAAUACCGCAUACGUCCUGAGGGAGAAAGUGGGGGAUCUUCGGACCUCACGCUAUCAGAUGAGCCUAGGUCGGAUUAGCUAGUUGGUGGGGUAAAGGCCUACCAAGGCGACGAUCCGUAACUGGUCUGAGAGGAUGAUCAGUCACACUGGAACUGAGACACGGUCCAGACUCCUACGGGAGGCAGCAGUGGGGAAUAUUGGACAAUGGGCGAAAGCCUGAUCCAGCCAUGCCGCGUGUGUGAAGAAGGUCUUCGGAUUGUAAAGCACUUUAAGUUGGGAGGAAGGGCAGUAAGUUAAUACCUUGCUGUUUUGACGUUACCAACAGAAUAAGCCCCGGCUAACUUCGUG
rnacentral:rRNA from 1 species